ensembl:lncRNA
AUGGCAGAGCUUGAAGAUCUGAGAAAACAGAUGGCAGAAAUGCAAAGAAGGUUUGCAGAACAGGCAGGAGCGCUCGAGCAAGCCAGGUCUGAACAAAGGGAAGCCUUGUCACUAGCAAGAACAGUCAUUGAGCACCAAGCUACUUUGCAAGCAACCCCAUCUGUCCUCUAUAUACCACGAGACCGAAAACUUCCAGAAUUCAGUGGCUGCCCUGCAAAACCAGGUGAAAUAAGCAUUGAGGAAUGGGUUGCCUCAAUGAAAUCUGCCUUCCAGGUAAUGAGGGUACCAGCUGAAGACCACGUGGAGUUUGUGAAACAGCAUCUCAAAGAUGAAGCUAAAGCGACUGUAAGGUUCAUGCUGGGUGGCAAAGAAGAUUCUGCUGAAAGCAUCUUUAAAGUUGCCUCAAUGAAAUCUGCCUUCCAGGUAAUGAGGGUACCAGCUGAAGACCACGUGGAGUUUGUGAAACAGCAUCUCAAAGAUGAAGCUAAAGCGACUGUAAGGUUCAUGCUGGGUGGCAAAGAAGAUUCUGCUGAAAGCAUCUUUAAAGUACUUUUGGAGACAUAUGGAGACAAAGUGCCAAUCGGAACCAGACUAAAUGCCUUCUAUGAACGAAAGCAGAUGCAAGGAGAGACGAUACGUUCAUAUGCAUACGAUUUACAGGAGAGACUGAGCAAAGUUCAGCGCAGAGAACCAAACCGAGUUCCCGAUGCCGAAAGUGUGUUAAAAGAGCAGCUUGUCCUGGGCCUUCGAGAUGAUUUCCUGAGGCGUGAAAUGAAAAGACGAGUUAAAGAGGACACGGGUUUGACUUUUGUUCGGGUAAUGCAAGCAGCAAUCACCUGGGCUGAAGAAGAAGAGACACAAACGCCAAACAAUCCAAAACCCAGUCCCCGUGUUAGAGUAGUUAAUGCUGACGCAGAACAAGCUUCCUCUACGUUAACUUUGGAAAAACUGCAUGAAGCCAUACAAAAAAUUGCUGCCCGUCAAGAAGAACUCUAUCAGGCCGUACAUGGUAACAGCAGAGUACGACUUCAACAGAGCCUCCCAAAAAGACAACCCCUGAAGGACAGCGAUGGCCGAUACAUCUGUUAUUCGUGUGGCGAGCCUGGGCACACUAGCAGGCGCUGUCCACAAGGUGCUGAGGCAGCUAUGGUGUCUGAUCAGUCUCGACGUUCUACAGGGAUGGUUGAAACAAACAUAGGGAACGUUCCGGCAAACACGACACAAGCCAGCUCUGGGCCAUCUAUGAUAAGAAGUCAUGUAGCUGAAUGGUCCGACGAAGUGACGGAGACAUUGAAAAAUGGUGCAUUUGGAGAUUGUUUGACUAUUGAAGUUAGAAUAGCUGGUGUCAAGACAAACUGCUUGCUGGAUACAGGCUCAGAAGUGUCCACUAUUACAGAAUCACACUUUAGGAAGCACUUCGGAGAGCAAAAGCUGAAAUUGUCAUCUGCUCACUGGGUCAAACUCACUGCAGCUAAUGGGCUCGACAUUCCGGUCCUAGGAUGUUUACAAGCUGACGUGGAGUGCAUGGGAAAGGUUCUACCAGGGAAGUGCAUCUUUGUGCUGACAGAUACCAGCCCAGAAUCUGAGGAGAUAAGAGGACUUUCUGGAAUCAUUGGAAUGAAUAUUAUCAGUGAGUUUAAAUCGUUGUUCGUCACAGGAGAGAGCGUAAAGACAGCCAACAAAUACAGGCAACCCGCAGAAGCAAAGAUAAGAAGGGUGUUAGCAUGUGUCGAGAAGACUGAACCCCUGAGUCCUGACGGCAAGAUUGGGUUUGUCAAAGUUGGUGGAAAGCAGACCAUCACUAUUCCUCCACUAAGUGAGAAAGUGUUUGAAGGUCGUUGCAGAGUGCCACCUAAAGUGAAGUGCCAAGUAUUAAUUGAGCACACCACUGGUGUGAGUCUACCCAAGGGGCUCUUAGUGGCCAAUGUGCUAACAAAAACUGAUGGUGGUAAAGUUCCUGUACGAGUAAUGAAUUCGAGUGAGCGGACCAUCAGACUAAACCCAAGAUGCAGAGUGGCAGUGUUGUCUAAACCCCGGGAGGUGUUAACUGAAAAUAUGCUGGAGUUUGAAGAAGAGGAAGGGGCGAUUCAUGUUAGACGAGUGGCACAUGUUCAAGCAGUCGGGGUCUCUGACAAUCCUCCAGUUCAGGUAAAUUACGAAAAACUCACCCCAGCACAAAGAGAGGAACUAGACCACCUGUUGGCAAAGUACAGAGACGUAUUCUCCAAAACUGACAGUGACUACGGGUAUACACAGGCAGUGACGCAUGACAUUCACACAGGUGAUGCUCCGCCUAUAAAACAGAGGCACCGUCGAGUACCGCCACAUGUUUUCCAAGAAUUCAAAAAACACGUGCAAGACCUAGUGUCGCAAGGCAUCCUUAGGGAGAGUGCGAGUCCCUGGGCAUCCCCGGCAGUGAUAGUUGUGAAGAAGGACGGUAGUGUGCGCUUCUGUUGUGAUUAUAGAAGGUUAAAUCAAGUCACAUGCAAAGACGCAUACCCGCUUCCCAGAGUGGAGGAAUCUCUGGACGCACUGGGGAAUGCUCAGUUGUUCUCCACCCUAGAUCUGACGGCCGGCUAUUUCCAGGUAGCUGUGAGUGAGCGGGAUCGUGAAAGUCACUACCCCGUUUGGACUGUUUGAGUGGACACGGAUGCCAUUCGGGCUGUGCAACGCGCCAGCCACUUUCCAGCGCCUUAUGGGGGUAGUUCUCGGGGAUUUGGCGUUUGAAGUCCUCUUGAUAUAUCUGGAUGAUAUUAUCGUGUUUUCCAGAGACUUCAAGAGUCACUGUGAAAGACUAGAGCUCGUGUUUGACCGACUGAAACACCAUGGCCUAAAGUUAAAACCAAGCAAAUGCUUUCUCUUCAGAUCUGAGGUAAAAUUUUUAGGUCACGUGAUCUCCUCUGAAGGAAUCAAAGUCGACAGUGAAAAGGUUAGUGCCUUGGAUGCUUGGCCUGUCCCUAAGAGUGUGAAGGAAGUGAGACAAUUGAUUGGAUUCAUGAGUUAUUACCGACGGUUCGUUCCAAAGUUUGCUCAAAUAGCAAAACCAUUGCAUGCGUUAAUGGGCAACAAAGACAAAAGGAAAGCCUCUGAAUUGUUCAUGUGGAGUAGCGAAUGCCAGACCGCAUUUGACAGAUUGAAACAAUGCCUGAUGUCACCACCUGUCCUUGCUUACCCUGACUUUGGCCUUCCGUUUAUCCUCACAACUGAUGGGAGUCACCAUGGCCUUGGGGCUGUAUUGAGCCAAAAGCAAGGGGGAGCAGAGCGUGUCAUCGCGUUUGCUAGCCGUGGCCUGAGGGGGUCAGAGAGAAAUGACAAAUACUACAGUGCGUUCAAAUUGGAGCUGUUGGCCCUUAAGUGGGCUGCAACAGAAAAAUUCAAAGAGUAUCUGAUGUUCUCCAAAUUCACUGUAAUCACUGACCAUAAUCCACUGCGUUAUCUGGAGACCGCUAACCUUGGAGCAGUCGAGCAACGCUGGGUGGCUCAGUUGGCGGAGCUUAAUUUCGAGGUUCUGUAUAAGCCUGGAAGGCUGAACACCAACGCUGAUGCUCUGUCGAGGAUUCCCGCCCGAGAGGUCCCUGAACAGGAAGACACAGAGAAGGAUUUCAUCCGACUGAACUCUGAGGAAGUGCGUGCAUGUCUGUGGCCAGCACAAGAGUCCAAACGAGGAGAAACUGACGUUCAAGUAGCUGUACAAGCAUCCAUCAAGAAAGUGCUGAAUGGUUACAACUGGGAUGAAAUUAGAGCAUUGCAGAGAAGUGAUCCCUUGAUAGGUCCCAUAUAUCAUGCUGUAUCCAAGAAUGAAAGACCAAGCCGAGCAAGAUCGCAAAGUAUGCUGCCAGAGUUGAAAAAGCUUAGCAGAGAGUAUGAACGUCUUCAGAUGCAUCAGGGUGUGAUGUUUAGGUGUAUCCUUGACCCAAGGGAUGGAGAGAAAAUAAGGCAGCUAGUUGUUCCAGCCUCCUUAUGCCGUUCAGUUUAUGACAGCCAACAUGAACAUGGAGGUCAUUUUGGACAGAGGAGUACUCUGACAUUGAUGAGACGAAACUACUAUUGGCCUAGCAUGUCUAAAGAUGUCCAAGAAUGGAUAGGACAAUGUAAACGAUGUACACUGGCAAAGGAUGUCUUUCCAAGAAUUAGAGCCCCAAUGACAUGCAGUAACGUCACAGCUCCUUUAGAGGUUCUGGCAAUGGACUAUACUCAACUGGAGAUGUGUUCAGGAGGAUAUGAAAAUGUGCUGGUUUUGACUGACAUGUUCACACGGUUUACAGUUGCUGUCCCAACCAAGAACCAGACAGCGAGUACUACUGCAAAAGCCCUUAUCAAGCAUUGGUUCCUCUACUAUGGGUGUCCAGCUCGUCUGCACUCAGAUCAGGGAAGAUGUUUUGAAUCACAAGUGGUCAAGGAACUCUGUAGAGUGUACAGUGUCGGCAAGAGCCGUACAAGUCCCUACCAUCCUCAAGGGAACUCUCAAUGUGAGAGGUUCAACCGUACAAUGCAUGAUAUGCUGAGAACAUUGACACCUGAGAAGAAGAAAGACUGGAAAACUCACUUGCCAGAGCUAGUGAUGGCAUACAACAAUCACGUUCACUCAUCCACUGGCUAUUCUCCUUUUUAUUUGAUGUUCGGGAGGGAUGCGCGCCUCCCAUUAGAUGUCCUGGGUGGAAAGGAUUUGGAGGAGAGCGAUGCAGAUAACUUGGAUGAUUGGGUGAAGGGUCACCACAGCCGACUAAAAAUUGCAGUGGAGGUUGCAAAUGCAGUCAAUCAAGAGACAUCGAAGAGACGAAAGAGGGUGUAUGACCGCAAGUCUGCUGGAGCACUUGUGAGGCCUGGUGACCGUGUGUUGUUACGCAAUCACAAACAUAGGGGCCGAAAUAAGAUUCAAGACAAGUGGGAACACACACCCUACAUCGUAGUUAAGCAGAAUCAUUCAGACAUACCUGUAUUCACUGUCAAACCUGAAAAGGGGGGUCCAUCCAGAGUAGUACACAGAGAUCAGCUUCGUCACUGCACAUUUCCUUUGUCAUCAUCUACUACACCACAUAAAACCAGAUGCAGACCUGUAAACCAGUCAGAUUCUGAAGCAGAAUUCCCAGAUCUUAUUUGUGUUCCGGCCACUCCACUUAGACAUUACCGAGAUGAAGGGGGUGGUCCAGAGUGAGACACAUGAUGUAGAUUUAGGAGGGGAUGUAGUGCAAGAGCAGGAAAAUAUGGCACAAGAUGUAGCCCCAGAAACCGAGUUGGAGUUACAGGAAGUUUCAGAUGAUACUGAUAUUUCAGAUGUUGAUUGUGAAAAAUGUCCUAGAGCUCAGACGCUCUCAAAGGCAAAACCGUGGUAAAUUACCUGUGAGGUAUAGAGAUGAUUAUCAGAUGAGAUAAGCUGAAGCAUUAACUGAGGUUGUGAUGGUAAAUAUUUAUGAACUUGCUGAAAUUUGAAAAGUUUCAAAGAAUGUGUAUUUUGUUGCACUUAACUUUGUUUAUGUUCCAGAGAGACUUGCUGGAGAUGUCGAUGGUAUGGCAGGGUUUCGCAAGGGGGAAAUGUAACAGGUAUUUUUGUAAAGGGACUUUUAUUUUGAUGGGUUGCCCCGUUUUCGGGUAUGUUAGCGGGAGGUGAAAAGAUGUCUGGGAAGAAGGAGAAAAAGAGAGCAGUUUUUACGAGAGAAAGACACGCCAUGAUUGCUGUGUGGGAAAUCAGCAGUUUUUCAACGGAAAACGUGAAAGAAGAUAGUAAUAUACAGUUCAUCUGAGUUUUUGUGAGUUAAACGAACAUUAACGCCAUCGUCGUCUGAGACUGGAAACGGAGCUGGUGCAGAAGUUCGGCUGAUUGCGUCAUCGAACAGCGUGAGAGACUGGCUGAGAGCACGAGAGUUAGUUGCUGGAGCCGUGAGUUUCUUCCUGAACGCUGUUGUUUUGCAUCUUUCGAACUGUAUGUAUUUUUGAGAGUUUUUCUGCGUGCCUGAGUCAUUAAUGAGCUGUGCUUUGGACUGAGAGACGUUAAUUUCUUCCUGCUUGUCAGUCAAGUGCACUUGUUAGUGCGUGAGAAGAUGUAAAUGAACUGGAAGUGAGUUUUUUCACAGUGUUUUUUCGUUUUCGCUCUCUCUCUCUUUUUGCAUUUUUGUAGAGACUGCCCAUUGCCUAAGAUCCGUUUUGCUUUUGGGAAACUUUUAUUAUUAUUUUUUAUUUUUUUUCUUAUUGAGACUGAGUCAGUGCGUGCUGUGGCAGAGCUGCGCCAUUUUGUUCCAGGAAAUUCCGGGUUUUUUUUUGGAAAUUUGCUAGUUUUAUUAUUAUUACCCUGCCAUCCUGACGACAUCUCCUUACUUUCCUGUCCCAGCUGUUCAUUUCUCUAUUACAGGUCAUCUCAAGUCAUUGCAAGUAAUUUCUUCAAUUUCAUCAUCGCUAAAGACUGGUACAACGUUCAUUGCACAUAUACAUACAUGAACUCUUACUGAUAUAGACUGAACUGCGAACUUGAACUAGGUAACUGAACUGGGUUUGAUGUGAAAAUUGAAUCAUCUGUCGAAUCGCAAGAGUCAUUUCAGAGUUCAUUUGAAUUAAGUCAAGUUAUUUCAGAGUUUAUUUGAAGUGAAUCAUUUGUGAACUGAUUGUUAUUCCAGAGGUGAACACAAGUUUUAUGGUUAAACAGUUGGUGGUGCACCACGGGUAAAGAUUAUAGUGACAAAUUUAUUUGAGCAACAUUGUUUUAUUUGUUUUUUUACAUUUUUCAUGUAUUGUUCUGAUCUUCUUUUCCUGCUCUGCAAAAGAAAAAAAACAUUUUAAAAGGAGAUAAUUAAAUCUGAUUGAAUGUUAAAGUAAAUCUCAAGAGUACUAUCAUUGUUGAACUUACCUUGGAGUAGGGGCGUCUCACUUGCUCUGUUAGGUACUGGGGUGGUGGGAAUGUGAAUUGGUAUUGUUAAAUUGCCUCACAUAUUUACACUUCAGGCGGCCACCAAAUUAAUACAAGUAUUUGUAGACUUAACUGAAGCCACACUCUCUGGUCCCUUUAGUAUAUUAUACAACAGAGUAAGGUAACACGUAUACAUAACCUAUACCUUGAGACUCAAAGCACUGAGGUGGGGGGACCAAGAUCCUUUCCUCCUAAAGUCUUCC